CAGGAACGAAUUGGGGGGAUGCCCGGGCGGAACCCUGCUUUGGGCUCGGGCUCACUGUCCACUGACCGGGCAUUUCCAGUCGGCCCGACGGCCAGGGUAGCCCAGCUCCAUCUGGCCGGGCCAGGGCGGGGACACAGGGUCUGGACUUGCUCCCAGGCAGGGUGACGGGCCAACCUAACGGAGAGCCCCCCCUCCCCCCAAGCCACCUCCCUCCGGCCCCAGCCACAGUGGCGGCUGCAGGAGGGGGUGCGCGGUUGCCAGUCUCGGGCGGUGGCAGCAGCAGCAGCUGGAGCAACCCCGGAGCGCGUGGCGAAGGCAGGCAGGACCACCCCCACCCCCUCCCCAGAGCAGCCUCGGUCCGGGGCGGGGCGGGACAGGGCGGGGCCGGAGGACCGAGGAGGCGGGGAGAGGAGGCUCCGAGGCUCGGGCUGGCUCCACUCGAAAGCAGCCGGCUGUGGAGGCAGCGUCGGCGGCGGUGGCGGCGGUGGCGGCGGUAGCAGCGGCGGCAGCGGCGGCAGCGGCGGCGGUGACGGUGGCAGCGGGCGGGCUCAGGGAGCAGCGGCAGCUGUCCGGGCCAGGCAGACCGGCGGGCACGGUCCAGGAGAGCCGGCCGGCAGCCCAAAGGAUGCUGAUCAAACCCACAAAAGGGCAAUAUCACUCACUUCUCAUUUCAUGACCAGCCUCCAGGAUCUGCAGACUACAGACAAGGAACACUGCUGACACCAGCUGUGCAGCUGGGAAAGUUAAAGAAGAUGAGCUCUGUGGAUGAGUUAAUAUAACAGAGAUUAUUUGGCAAGUCUUCCUGGUAAGUGUACCCCCUUGAUUAUAUAUCAUUUUUUACAGCUUUGAAAAUUCAAAUUACUCUCUUCUUUCUUGGCUACAUACUUGCCCAGGGAUCAUAUCAUAGGCUAUGAACUUUUAUUAUUUUGAUUAAGUUGGAUUUGGUUCGUGCCCAUACCUUGUAUGGGAAUCGGUAGAGAAUCUUUGUUGCCCCUCUGUGACUUUCUCGGUUGAGCUUGUCGUUUUUGCACAUUGCAACGCUGCUUUGUUUGGCAUUGGUAAAACUCAUCAUUUAUUGGUAGUUGAAAUUGGAGGCAUUUUGAUAUUGUCAGGACUGUGUGUCCAUUUUAAUGGCAGUGUCCAAUUCAGUGGAACCACCAUGGCCAAACACUGUGCAUCCUUCUUAGGGGCUUUUGUCUCUGAGUUUCAUACUUCUUUGCCAUUGUGGGAAGAAUCUUUGAAAGAGUCAUCAUAAAGUACCAAAUGAUGUUGCAGCGAGUGGUGGAGAAAUGAGAUUUAUUAUGCAUCCAAAAGCAAAUGAGUACACUUAAAAGCUAAUGAUAUUUUGGAAUGCAGAAAUACAGUGGGCAUAUGGCAGAAAGAGUUUGCGUUUCUAAAAGGCACCUUAUAGACCUAAAUUACUUAACGAACCAUACUGUGCAGUCUUAUAAUAUUAGUCUACAUUCCUUCUGGAUGGUGAUUCCAUUAGCUUGUGUUUUCCAAAGGUGGGCAGUUGGGAAAGGUGGCUGUGUAUUAAUGAGUUGUCAUUUUCCUCAUAAAGCGCAGUAAUGGACUGGAUCAGGUUAAUUUAAUCUAUACAGUGCUUUCCUACUUUGUUACUGGUUUGAACAGGAGUUGAAUUGCUUUGUUAAUAUUAGGGCUAGAACAAAGGGAUUAUGUCACUGAAUGCUUAC
rnacentral:lncRNA from 1 species